CCCGGCGCGCGCGCGCGCGCGAUGCGGGCUGCGGGCACCGCUCAGCCUUCGGUGUGAGGGGGAGAGAGCCUCGUCCCUUCCCCGCGCCGGGAAUAAAGGUGCCUGUGAUGGGGAAAACUCGUACCCUCAGGAGGUGGAAUCCAGAAGCAGGGCAGGUUUUCCCCUCAGGAAGUGGAAGCUAGAAGCAGGACGGGUUUUCUCCUCAGAAGAUGGGAUCCAGACACACCCAUGUUAAGGUACACACAGACACGCACCAGGAUGAACCGCUGCCAGGGCAGAUGUUUGCAGUGGAGUCAGAGCCAGAAGAACCUGGACUGCAGCCACCUCAGCGAGGAGUGGAAAGAAGGGAAAACCCCUCUCUAACAUUAAUAAAGAGCUGAAAAUUCCACAGCAGUUCUUGAACAUUUCUUCCAUGCUACAGCGUCUGCUCUGAUGUGACCAACUUUAAAAUUCCCCAUCAACUUUAAGGGAACUUCCUGAGAAAAUUAUGCUGCCUUUCCUGGUUCAGUGAAACUCUCCUCUUCCAAAGAAAGGUCACAAGGCUUUUUCUUUUUCCUUUUUUUAACCUGUUCAUGACUGCAGAACUCCAUGCCAGAAGAGAUUAGAAUAACAAAGCUCACAGGCUUCAGAUCAAACCACAGACUUCACCUUGCUGCAGUUCAUCUUCCAUCAAUAACAAUCACCUGAAAUAGGACAGAAAAAUCUAAAUCUUUGCAAGGCUUUUAAGAAUCCAAGAGGUGCAGACACCACAUUAAAAAAACAAUGAUAAAAGCACUGCAGCAGUUACUGAAACACCAUGUGUGUGUAGAAAAUCCCUAUGAAAAGCAUAUAUGGGAAUAAAUCCUAUUGUUGCUAAGUAAAGAACAAAAUUUGCUUCAGGAAAAUACAUGAAAUUUGGUUUAUGGACAGACUUUUGGAUAAAUGUGUGGGUAAAAGAUGUGUGGUUUGUGGCAAGGCUGUAAAUGAAAAAAUAAUCAAAAAUAUAGAGAAGAAAGAAUAUUCUUGUAAUUCUAUCAUCUCUUAUUUUCACAAGCUAUAAAGAGAAAGCAUUAGAUGUUGGACACUGGAGAUGCUUUUAAGAUUAGAUAAUUUAGCUAAGAAGCGUUAUUAUAGAAAAAGCAAUGGCAUAUGCUUAUUAUUAGAUAAUUAUAUUAGGAAUGGCCUCUCAGGCAGAAUGGAUUCUGUGAAACAGCCUUACAUUUGUAUAAAACCUUCAAGUCACAAGAGAAAAGAACAGCUUUAUAAAAUGAAAGAAAAUGACCUAAAUAGGAAGAUCUUUACAAGUUCCUGUAGUAGCUCAAUAUCCCAAAGGGGAGGAAAAUGAAGAGCUCACAAUUCCUUACUUGACUUUAAGCAUUUCUUCAAUGUGUCUGCAUUGCUCAGAACCAAUUUCUCUCCUAGUUUAGCUUUGACUAAAGUACAGUGGAGUCCCUGAAGUAUAGCAUAUUUAACCAAAAAAUCUCCACAAUAAAUUGUUGCAAAUAAACCCAAACUGAUUAGUAUUUUAAUUUGCAACCUUUUAUACAGAAGUCACGUUUAAUUUUGUCUACUGGACUGAAAGAAAAGGCUUUUGCAGCACAGGUUUUCAGAAGCUUGAGCUCAGUGUUCUCUUUGAGGUCAGAUUUAUUAAAAAAAAAAUCCCUCCCAAAUGAAAAUUUAUGAAAACAAACUGGAAAAGUUGCAUUAAGUUUACUAAGGUAAAAAUAUGUACAGCUGUUGCAGCAGUAAGAUUAUUACAAACUAGGUGGAUGGGAGAAUUAAAGCCUAAACAAAAGAGUAAUUAAAAAUAAUAAUGUUUAACUGUUAAUCUGUCAAAAUAUCUGAAGUAGCAAGAAAAUCAAGCAAGAAAUGCUUUUUGUGAGUUGGAAAAGGGAGCAAGUGAAUAUCCUGUCAUACCACUGAUGCUCUCAGACCACAAAACUGGCUGUAGAAAUGGAAGUGGUGAAAAAAAAGUGUCCUGCAAAAGGAAAAUCUGAAGUGCAGAUUCUUAUUUAAAUGAUGAUUGGGUACUUCUCUGCAGUUCUGAGGGCACAGAAUUGUUACUUUUGAGAAAAAAAUAGCGAGAAAAUAAAUUAGCCUUCACCAAGCACUGAAACUUUGUGCAGGUAAAAUCUCAUUAAUGGCUACAAGAGUUCUUGAGCAAGAAGCCCAAGCCUGAUGUAACAAACUGGAACUGCCACCACCGUUUGUGGGCAUUAAAAUCUUUCAAAAAGGAUGAAGAGAUUCUUUUUUUUUAUUCUUUUUUUUGCACCAGUGAGGCGAGCAAUCACCCAGUAUUAGGAAGAACACAAAUUUAAACAUUCGGAAAAACUUUUCACUUGGUCAGCAGCACAAGAGAUGAGGACAGUAAGGGAAAUUACUUUAAUUCAGUGGAGAAAAGGAAUAUGCUACCACUAUUAACCUUAAGAAAUAUCCAAAUGAUUAAAACCUUCUAACCCAUUGCCUUGUAAAUUAUUUCCUAAUUCUAGCUCUGUAGGGUUUCUGCAGUAUCGCUAAGUUAAAUAUUAUCCGUGUUCUUUCGAAGGCCUGAUGAGCUAUUAACAUUACAAUUAGAGCUUCAGCUGCUAACGAGGAACACUCGAGAUAUGUGUUUGCUCCACAACGUCACUGCACGCCAUAAAACAGGGGAUAACAGGAAUUUCCCAUCACCUGGAGUGUUUUUUUACAACAUUUAAAUGCAGAAGCCCGAGCUGGACUGUAGUGUGGAAGCGUAGGAGAGGCGCUGGAAGCGCCGGGCACCUCCGGAGGGCACAGGGCCAGUGUCCCUCCUAUCCCGGCUAUCCCCAAGCACAGCCGGGCCGCCCCCAACAACCCCUGCAGGCUCUGAUCCUCUGUCAGGAGCAGUGGUGCUGCUGCCGGGGACCCCGCUGCCGGGGAUGCCGCUGCCGG